GAGCUGGGUUUAGAACGUCGUGAGACAGUUCGGUCCCUAUCUGCCGUGGGCGCUGGAGAACUGAGGGGGGCGUGCUCCUAGUACGAGAGGACCGGAGUGGACGCAUCACUGGUGUCGGGUUGUCAUGCCAAUGGCACUGCCCGGUAGCUAAAUGCGGAAGAGAUAAGUGCUGAAAGCAUCUAAGCACGAAACUUGCCCCGAGAUGAGUUCUCCCUGAGACUUAGAGUCUCCUGAAGGAACGUUGAAGACGACGACGUUGAUAGGCCGGGUGUGUAAGCGCAGCGAUGCGUUGAGCUAACCGGUACUAAUGAACCGUGAGGCUUAACCUUAC
rnacentral:rRNA from 1 species